rnacentral:lncRNA from 1 species
CGACAAAUUCAAAUACCAGAGAAGUGUUGACUACAAUAAUUCAUUGUUGAGGAACUGAUCUAAUACAAAUGUACUUAAAUCUUCACACGAGCAAGUGUAAAUAUGAUGUAAUGUGAUUUGCCUCUAUUCAAUUGUGUGUUUAAUCCGAGGUGCGUUAUUUUAUUUACUGCUAUAUGAUAUGAACAAUGUUCUGAUUUGAAACACUAUUUGUGAGCUGCGUAUACUCGCACAUUCAUACAUUGAAACUAAUAUAGUUUUU